AUGGAAGGUUUUAGGACAGCUCUUGCAGAUUGUGGCCUUAGGGAUUUGGGCUACAUAGGAGACAACUACACUUGGCGCAAUAAUAGUUGGGAUGCUAGUCGGUACAUAAAAGAAAGGUUGGACAGAGCUGUAGCUUCAAGGGGAUGGUGUGCAAGAUUUCCACACUUCAAAGUUCUGCAAGGAGAUCCACACUAUUCGGAUCACAGGCCAGUGACAAUCCAUAUAGGUGAAACCAGUUUUAUGCAGAAAAGAAGAAGGGUGCAUGGUUUCAAGUUCGAAGCGAGAUGGCUUCAGGAGGAAGAUUGUGAAGUGGUUGUUAAGAAUGCAUGGGCAACAGCUAGGCUACAUGGAAAUUAUAACACUCAUGACAUGUUGCGCAAGGUGGCGGCUGACUUGAAAGAUUGGGAUGCCAAUGUUUUGGGUGAGCUUGGAAAGAGAUUCAAGUCUGAAGAAUGACCUGGAAGAAGUUAGGAGGGGUGACAUAAAGUAUCCAGAGAACACUUUUUAAGGGAAAAGCUCGACCGCUUAGAGCAGCAACAAGACAUGCAUUGGAGGCAACGUGCUCAUGUCAAAUGGCUCCACGCAGGAGAUAAGAACACUGCUUUCUUUCAUGCUUUCGCCUUUGAAAGGAAAAGAAGGAACAAAAUUAAGAAA
rnacentral:rRNA from 1 species